rnacentral:rRNA from 1 species
UUUAACUGAGCGUUCAGUUACUUGACGUAGACCCGAAACCGGGCGACCUACCCAUGAGCAGGAUGAAGCGAAAGUAAAAUUUCGUGGAGGUCCGAACCCACGAGCGUUGAAAAGCUCGGGGAUGACUUGUGGGUAGCGGUGAAAUUCCAAUCGAGCCCGGAGAUAGCUGGUUCUCCCCGAAAUAGCUUUAGGGCUAGCCUCAAGGUGAGAGAUACGGAGGUAGAGCACUGAAUGUCCUAGGGGGUAUUGCACCUACCGAAGACUAUCAAACUCCGAAUGCCGUCAUCUUAUACUUGGGAGUCAGACUGUGGGUGAUAAGAUUCAUAGUCGAAAGGGCAACAGCCCAGAUCGUCAGCUAAGGUCCCUAAAUGUAAGUUAAGUGGUAAAGGAUGUGGGAUUGCACAGACAACCAGGAUGUUGGCUUAGAAGCAGCCACUCAUUCAAAGAGUGCGUAAUAGCUCACUGGUCGAGUGAUCCUGCGCCGAAGAUUUCCGGGGCUAAAACUUACUACCGAAGCUACGGCAUCAGUAAUGAUGGGUAGGGGAGCUUCCCAUACGGGUUGAAGCAUGACCGUAAGGACAUGUGGACAGUAUGGGAGUGAGAAUGUUGGCAUGAGUAGCGAGAUGUGGGUGAGAAUCCCACAGGCCGUAAACCCAAGGUUUCCAGGGGAAGGUUCGUCCGCCCUGGGUUAGUCGGGACCUAAGCUGAGGCCGAAAGGCGUAGGUGAUGGACA